GGGGCAGUAGCUCAAUUGGCUAGAGUUACGGUUUCCAAAACCGUCGGUUGGGAGUUCGAGUCUCUCCUGCCUCGCCA
rnacentral:tRNA from 1 species